UACGAAGGGGGCAAGCGUUGUUCGGAAUUAUUGGGCGUAAAGGGCGCGUAGGCGGUGCCACAAGUCACCUGUGAAAUCCCCGGGCUUAACUCGGGGCCUGCAGGCGAAACUGUGGUGCUGGAGUAUGGGAGAGGUGCGUGGAAUUCCCGGUGUAGCGGUGAAAUGCGUUGAUAUCGGAAGGAACGCCGGUGGCGAAAGCGGGCUGCUGGACCCUUUCUGACGCUGAUGCGCGAAAGCCAGGGGAGCAAACGGG
rnacentral:rRNA from 1 species